GGUUUUCACACAUCACUCGUUGACAUAAAAAUCGUAUUUGAAAAAACCCAUGAAAUAGCCUCUGUAUAUUGACAAAAACAUUAAAAAGGACAUUUCGUAAGUGAUCAACGCCAAGUGGCAAAUGAAAUUAAGACUCAAACCUUGAUUGACAAAUCAAUAAAUGUUGAAAUGUUCUGGUAAAGACAAUUUUUCUAAAUUUUUUCAUAUAGACUUACAAAGUUCAAGUGAUAUUCCAUAAUGCUACAGUCACAUAUCCACCGAGCCCCGUACAAUUUUUCUACAUGUGGCGGAUUUCUACAAUUUCAGGAAAUCGGGGGCAUCACAGGGGUCUGCGGCAUCCAUGUGUAGCAGUCUCAUAUUCAGCGGGGCCCGCGUGGUGCCCUUUGAAGUUUUCUUCACUCCAAUCGCGAGGCGCCCGUGGAUAGACAAUUGAAGCCAACAACCAUACCAAGACAGAUAACUACGUUGAGAAAGAAAGCACAAUGUAAGCGAGCAACAUCACCACAUCAACGGCAGAAGUGGACACAAACACACCCAAGACAAACAGUAACUGGUUUGCCCGACAGGACCAGGAUGAAGUAGCUGAGCAAUAUGACAAGGGGGAUUGGACAACUUGAAUCCUGCCACAUCACACAGCUGAUCAACUUAGUCAACAUUCUAGAGGAUAUGACCCACUCAGUGGCCAUUAAUUGUGUCCGCCAUGGACAGGUAAACACAGAGAGGGAAGAAAGCUCACUGAAGUGGAAAACCACACAAGGAAGGAAUCGGUGGUGGCGUCCUUUUGGACCACAUUGGUGGUGAGGAAAUCACUACCAAAACCAAAACCAAUGCAGAAUCGGACAACAAUGCUACCAAGGUGAACAACUGAUUUGCCCAACAAAGAUCCUGAAUGAAUAAAGACCAGGAUGAAGAAUCUGAAAGGGAGAUUGGACGACUCAACACCGAGGCUUGUCACGUCAGGCAGCUGAUCAACCUAGUUAACAUUCUAGAGGAUAUGACCCAAUCAGUGACAUUUGCGUCCGCCUUGCACAGACUAAUGCUGUGUACAGAAUGAUGGGAAUUAUGAUGAAUUGGCGAGUGAGAUGUUAUUUGUGGUUAUCUAGGAAGAUCAGUGGAUGUUUCUGAACCACCAUCCCAAGAUCGACGAAUCGCUGCAGCAGCAACACGGGAAAGUGUCGGAAGUGGAUCGAGCGUUUGUACAUCUCAAUUGUGAAGUGUUGUCACACCAGAAGAUAAACACAAAGGUUUAUGAUUUCGAGUUGUCUCCCUUUGUUUUAUAUUGCCUGUCAAAAUUAUAAAAUCUUUUGGAUUUUUUAAAACUUGGUGGCCGGGGAAAUGCGGAGGGGUGCACCCUGGGUAUUAUGGUAUACUCAGAUAUAUUUUUUAGAUAUUUGAAGAUUAUUUACUUUUAUUUAAUAGAAGGGUUGUAAUGACAAACAAACUUGAGAAAUAUGGCUAUUAGAUUAUAAUAGUAUUCAUAUGAUGAUGAUGUCAACUACAAAUUAAAUUAAACUUGUAUGUAUUAUGUUCUUGUGAGAUGUAUUUUUAAAAUUCUGGCCGAAUCUCAAGGUCUUUGUUCUUGUACGGUGUUUAAUUUACAAAAACUAUUAUAUAUAUUUUAUUGUUAAUUUUGUUUAUGUAUUUAUUGAGGUCAAACUUUAUUAACUUUAAUUAUUUGUAUUAAAAAAAAAAAGAAAGAA